rnacentral:rRNA from 1 species
CGUAGGGUGCGAGCGUUGUCCGGAAUUAUUGGGCGUAAAGAGCUCGUAGGCGGUUUGUCGCGUCGGCCGUGAAAACUUGGGGCUUAACCCCAAGCCUGCGGUCGAUACGGGCAGACUUGAGUUCGGCAGGGGAGACUGGAAUUCCUGGUGUAGCGGUGAAAUGCGCAGAUAUCAGGAGGAACACCGGUGGCGAAGGCGGGUCUCUGGGCCGAUACUGACGCUGAGGAGCGAAAGCGUGGGGAGCGAACAGGAUUAGAUACCCUGGUAGUCCACGCCGUAAACGGUGGGUGCUAGGUGUGGGGGGCUUCCACGCCCUCUGUGCCGCAGCUAACGCAUUAAGCACCCCGCCUGGGGAGUACGGCCGCAAGGCUA